rnacentral:lncRNA from 10 species
GGAAAAUACCCUGGCCCACAGACCCGCCCCGGCAGCCCGGCCCACCCCAAAUCAUGUGUGUGUGCUGGGGGGUGGGGGCUAGUGGGGCAGAGGAUAAGCAGGCUGGAAGAGCCGACUCCUACGGCUGCGAUCCAAGAGGUGCCUGCAACAGUUGCCCCCCGACUUCUGUCGCCCCCAUGGAGGCAAACAAGUCUGGAACAGGGAAUGGGGGUCUGGGAGAGAAGAUGAAAAGACUGAGGAUCAGAGAGGUGAGCAGUAGCUUUCCCAAAGGCCCAGAGCCAAGAAGCGUUGAAGCUUAAAAGCACGCCGCGGCAGGGAAGAUCAAGCAAGCCCUGCGCCUAUCUGCAGCUUGAUCUCUCUGUACUGAGCCAUGGAGCUCCUUCUUGGAGGCGUGAAAUGCUCCCCAUCCUUCAGGAGACAACAGCAACAGCCAGCCACUCCUUGUCCAGUCAGCAAUGCUGGAAUACCUCUGCAGCUCACAGUCCAACGCCCACAGCCUUCGAGUCAGUUUCUUGAUAUUCGGCAAUGCACUGGACUCCUGAUCCCAUCAGCUCCUGGCUGAAGGUGGGCCAACCCUUCCCCAUUUCCUUCAAUUCAAACAUUUCCUCAUGUCCCUCAGUGCCAAGCCCUGUGCUGGGAGCUGAGGACCCAGAGGUGAGCUAGAUCUAAAAUCUGACCUCAAGGAGCUAACAGUCUGAGAGGAAGACUGGAGUGGAUAAAAAUACCUUGGUAAUUUAUCACUUAAUAAAUAUCCAAUAAAUGCUAUUAUGUGCCAAGCCAUUGCUAAGCUCAGAGAAUACAGUGGUUAAAAGCAACCCAUAGAGCUUAUAGUCUUUGGGGGAGAAAUAAUUUUUAAAAGUUAUCAACUAGCAGGGCAUGGU